GACAGAGGUCCCAAGCGUUAGGCGGAAUCACUGGGCUUAAAGCGUGUGUAGGCGGAUUUGUAAGUACCUUGUGAAAUCCCACGGCUCAACCGUGGAACUGCUUGGUAUACUGCUUAUCUUGGGCCAUCUAGGGGCGAGCGGAACAAACGGUGGAGCGGUGAAAUGCGUAGAUAUCGUUUGGAACGCCAAUGGUGAAAACAGCUCGCUGGGGAUGUGCCGACGCUGAGGCACGAAGGCCAGGGGAGCAAACGGG
rnacentral:rRNA from 1 species